GAUUUCCGGUACAAAUUAUUUUUUUAGACAGCUUCCUUCUCACUUGAUUUUAGUAAACAGUUGAAUGUAUUUUGCCAACAAUGUUAUCAUUUUUGUUUUUGGACUGUGAUAACAGAAUUGUGAAUCAUACAAGGAAGGACAAAAAAGCAUAUAUGAAUCAGAAUAUAAUGCCUGUUUACCUGGUCAUGUGGUAUGCACGCUGGACUGUAGUUCUGACUUCUCAAUGGUCCUGGGUUCAUACCCUACCAGCUGCCAUCUCCUGUCGUCCAGUGGGAGGUUUGGGCUUGGAAAAAAUUUAUUUUCAACUCUGAAGGAACAUGUGAACCAUGUAAAACAUUUUACAAGCAUAAGAUUUACUAGACACAAGAGAGAAAGAUGUUCUUCUGCUGGCUAAACAUGGAUAGUUAGAUGUUCCUGAUUGUACAUGGACUCUAUUUGGAUGGUUUUGCCUGGGACUGUGAUCACAUGACUGUUGGUGACCAAUUGAAAGGCCAGAUGCAGGCAAAUUUGCCUGUCAUGCACAUGGAUCCUCGCCUAGACUAUGAACCGGAUUUAUCUCUCUAUCCAGCGCCACUCUACAAAACUGAUGCAAGAGCUGGCACACUUUCCACUACAGGACAUUCUACUAACUUUGUUGUAACUGUCCACCUUCCUUCAAGCAACACACAAGAUUACUGGAUAGCCAAAGGUGCAGCACUCUUAUGUCAAAUUUCUGAUUAAUUUUGCUUACAGAUAAGUUUUAAAGCAUUUAACAAUAAAAACAAUGUCCAUUACAAA